rnacentral:lncRNA from 1 species
UUCUCAGCUGGCAAUGUGAGACGAUGAAGUCCGAACAGUGCAGAUCAAUUGGGCACACAAAUUUGUUCAGGCCACCAUGUCAAUUUCCUUCUCAUUCUGAUAACUGCCCUUAUUCCUACACACAGCAGUGUGGCCAUAAUGGACCUGUCUACAUCAUAAUACUGGAAAAUGAGAAGGUGAGUUUUCUUCUUUUAGUUGUUGUCUGCAAAUAGUCUCUUGCUGAUAACUAAGGUGGCUAUUAUGUGUGAUUGCAGAUGUCCGUGCAGGAGUUUCCAGCAGAUUCCACUGUAUUCGACUUGAUGGAGAGAGCUGGGGAAGGAAACUCGAGAGGAUCUCCAUGCAGUUUCCCUGUGAAGUUAGAAUUAAGGCCCCGACUGAAUCAUGAGCCAGUUAGCGAUCCGAGUCGGAAUCUCAGAAUGGGGGAUGUCGUCGAGUUGACCCCGGCCCUUCCCGACAAGUCAUUGACAGAGUAUAGGGAAGAAAUCCAGCGCAUGUAUGAACGAGGACUUUCUCUUUCUGGCAGGCACGGUUGAGGAAGCGGAAAGCUCAGUGUUUGUUAUUCAAUCUAUUGUAUAAAUUAACUUGGUUGUAAAUAUCAACUGAUUGAAUACGAUAAUUAUAUCUACCAGUAUCAUGGCAACUGGGUUAAGGGGAUCAAUGAAGACUUGUACUUGCAAGGGAA